rnacentral:lncRNA from 1 species
UUCCAAAUCGCAGAGUUAAUUCAAAAGCCUAGGUGUUAUUACUGAGCUGCUGCUCUUUUUUCUCUAAUUCCCUUCUCAGAUCCUCCGACUACUCCUCCUUAUCCUACUCACUCGAAGUUUCGUUGGUCAUUUAUUGUUUUUUUAGCCUCUUUGACAAAGUUAGUAAGAAGAAAAACCUCGAUCUUUACUUCACACAAUCUCGAUUUGAAUUAUCAUUUGGUGAACCGGGCAUCUCGGACAAAGACAAUAACAAGAAGAGAUGGGAAGACCCUUCGCGGUCCUGCUCCCUGGUCUCUACCUUGCUUACCGCCCCUCGUAGGGGCCAGCGUACCCAUACCGAAAACGAUUUACUCUUUUUAUGGGCGCUUUCGACUAGGCUCUCGUUAAGGAAUCAGCCCAAACAAGAUCGAGAUUCCCGCGAGAAUUGCUACGCUGCCUGCAGUGAAAUUGCAAGAAUCACUUUAUACGCUAUUUCGAAAUCGAAUGAAUUGAGCAACUGUAUUUCCCCAGGUUUCCAUUGGAAAAGGGGUUUUUUUUGUAUGCAAGUGAUGAUCGAUUGGCGGAGAAGCCGCUCCCGUGUGGGGUGGCCGUGAGAAUGAUUCCGAGUCUUCCUGACCAGACCCAUGUGGAACUUGUAAAUAAAUAGGUUUGUAAGUGCCUAGCUGAGUAAUAAGAUAAGUACCUUUGCUAAUAAUCCAAAACCUUUCAUCUUCUCUUUCUAGAUAUAGCAGCCUACCCAUAUUGAUAGUGGAAUUAUUGAUCUCCUCUUUCGGAUAGCCCAUUUUGAAUAAGUGUUAUGGGUAAGGGCUUGACCUACCAGUUGAAUGGAAUCUACCGUUCUUUAUGCUCUCGCUAGCUUUGAACUUGUUUGUACCAGUAAUCAAACCCAGAAUCUCAUUUCCCAUUGCUUUCAUCGCAUAGAGCCAGAUGCCGCAUCCACAGGCCUAUUUAGUAAGUGGGGGUGUAUCCUUGGUGACACUUGAGAAAUAAUCCUAUACUUCCAAUAACCCACUACUUCCUCCACGGAUGGUACAUGGCAGGCAUCUGCCGGAACUAGAGGCGAGCACUUUUCAAUCAAUUACGAGAGGCAUUCUCUUCUCUGAUCUUUAAUAAGCGAAGCAACGAGCCUAGUAGGGGAAAUACCUUCCUCAGGAAUGUCAUCAAAGCCAGGUUCUCCAAUCGUAAAAGGGAAUAUUCCAUGGAACAAGGGUUGUUUUUAGGUGCUGUCCUCGGCAGACCACCACAAAAGGUCCGAAUCAGGCGAAACUUCUUUUGGUGCCAGCGAGAAGUAGUAACAAGAACUCCUCCUCUGUUCAAUAUCAGCCUGGUUUAGGUCUAGGUCAUAAUGAAUUUUCUGAUACCUUCCUUCGUCCAUAGAUCAGCGUUAUGCUUCUGUCCCGUGAUGAAGAAGGAUAGAAGAAUGGUAAGAUAGGAUCGUAUUAGUGAGCCGUGGGAAAAGAGUUUUUUCGUACCUUGAUUGGACCCACCCAAAAGCAACAGGAAUCCCUUUCUCCUCCUAUAAGGAAAUCUCGUCGUUUCACUCUUCUUCAAGUACCAUCGGAUUAGUCAACUCAAACGCUGAGAGAUUACUAUAGAACCAAGGCGGCUUUGAGGCUGGCUCCACUCUCCAAAUAGAGCAGUUACUUCGUUGACGACAAGAACCCCAUUUCCACUAGCCAAAGAGCAAUUCAUUUCUUCGACUCGAUGCCUCCUCAUUUGCUCCCAUUCCCAUAUUAAUAACAGAAUUAGGGAAAUGCGAGGGAAAAGAAUGCCAAAAGCAUUUAGAGAUUUUACUGGGAUUCGUUCUGGCUCAGAUGGCGAGGGAUUGCUAUAACUAUUUUUAGAAGCAUUAAUGAGAUCUCUUUUUUUCUUCAUAAGCUUGCAUCAUGAAUCCCACUUCCCACUUUACCUGCCUCUUUAGUAGUCUCACAUCUCGGUUUAAGAAAGUGCUCGCUAUAUUCCCAUACCUUCCUGUGCUUAAUACCUAGCUUCAAAGAGCCCACUCUUUUAUUUAAUAGCCGAGAGGCAUGAACGGUUGGGAAAAACCCUCUCCUGUGUGGGUCGUAAGAGUCGAUUAUCCAAGCGAGACCUUAGAGGGGAGGACACACCAUAGCACCCAUUGGUAGACUAGACUCCGGAGCUUCAAACAAACUUACAGUAAGCCUAAUCAAAGCAGGCGCCCUCACCUCCUUCUUCACCGCCGGCGUCUACGGUUUGGGUGAAGGUAUCAGCUCUGAUACCAUGUGUGAUAAAUUCUUCCCAUUUUCCUGUGAUAGUCAAUAAACACAACCCUUACGUAUCCGUAUUUUGUAAUCACCUUUCCCUUCCCGUCGCUUCCUUAUACUAGAAUUCUGAUGACGCGUGCAACCCCGGCUACUUCGCUACCCUACUAUUAACAAUUACGGAGUUUCGAUUGUUUAUCCAAUGCAGCUUAAUAUGGUUAUGCCAGCAAGGAGCAUGAACUGAAGCUAGUUAUUUACUUAGAAGAGGAAACGGCUAGUCAGCAGAGCAGCGCAGCGGAGUCAUCAUAUUAUCAUAUUCUUGAGUCUCUCCCCACGGGAUGACCGCUUCCACCAGACUCUAUUUCUAUUGGUUCACCUUAGAUUUCUUGGUUGUCUACAUCCGUCUAAUCCUUAUCUAUAAGAACAUAAUCGCUAAGCUAUGGAUGCUUCGGCCGCACUCUCUACUCAGCUAUCUGUUUCUACUGCGUUGCGUUUUGGAGGCCCGAUACAAAAGAAAGUGGCCUUCCUUAUUAGUAGUGAUGGAGACGUCAGGUCCGAGAAGGAAUAACCUAAAGCCAGUGAUAGAAUCUGUACAACCGGCAGGAGCGAUUGAUCAGAUAUCGCAUACAUGCUUAUAAGCUGCUAAUUCUCACACAAUUAGCAUAUAAGGAGAAUAACGUAAAGCUAGUCAAUGCGUUCAGCACUUUCACUUUCCGUACAUACCUUGAUGGGAAGGAAAACUCCACUUCGGAUGGGUUAAAGGUUUUCCAAUUAUGCCUUGCUUACGUUCUCAACUGGAUCACUUUAAUAUCGUUCGACUCAUUGUCAUCAGAGAAAGAUGUGCCGUAGGAGAAUUGACUUCGGAUCAGAGCAGGAAUCGAAACCAAGGAAAAGCUUCAUUCCCGUGCGGUUUCAUUAGUACUACAUCUAUAGGCCACUACUUCACCACUUCACUGGAAAGUGCAUUCUCAAUUGUAGCAAAGUUUCGUAACCACUAAAGCGCAUUCUCUCCUUUACUCUUAUUCCGGCAUGGAUCCCGCUGAAGCAUCUAGUUUUUGGUCAUUUCGCUUUUCGUGCCGGCCUGUAUUCGGAGUUUCUUGGAUUUGCGGUGCCUGAAUACCUUUCUCCUUCUUUUUGGUGACGUCGGAUGCCCGCCUUUGGCGCUCAGAAGUGGAUUCUCCUUCAAAGAGGGCUUUUCCCCUAAGAAAGGGACAUGGUUGUAUUGGAUUUCUAGUCCUAUAGUGGAAGAGCAGAUAGGAUCACACCUACACGUAAGUUCGUUCGUUGGGUUAGUGGCCACCCGCACUCCAACCUAUCUAUAUGGCAACAAAGCGAAUGACAAGGCCAAAGUAGCUGACUCUUAUCGCUAACUUAACUCGGUCUAAGGGCGAGCUUGAAUACAACUCACAGAACGACUCCUCCAGGGGCCUUCAGGCACUCAAACAGAUAGUGAGACAGACACCAUCUAUAGAACUUGAAUGACAAUACACCCAUAUAUUCUAGCUAACAAUCAGAAACUGUAUCCAAAUGGAGGGGACACUCUUCCUUCAGAAAGAUGCCUUCGAAAGAAAAGCUCUUCCCCUCAACGACACAGCACAUUUUCUCAAAUGUUCCACGUUUCUCACCAUAUCCUCAUAGGGCUGAAGCACAAGAAAGAGGAUUACUUGGUUACCUUGCUUCCCUCGCCUAGGACAGUAGAAGGAUCUGUGGCCGAAGGCGCCACAAACGAAGCGGGUCGCCUCUUUUCUGCAGAUCUCCUCAAGAUGACCCUUCUCCCCGCAACGAUAGCACAUAACGUUUUUCCCAUGCUUGCGCGGUGAGGAGGACGAGGCCUUGAGAAGCUUUUCCACCAUUUUUCCCCUUUGGCAUUUGGAUCCAUGUUUUCUUUAACGAUCUCCGUGAUAGUAAAGGUUUUUUUGGUAGCCUUUGCUUUUGACGGCGAUGAAAGAAAGAGAACCCCUCCUAUCUUUUGAUCGUGGUCAAAAUCCUAUCCAAGUCCCCUUUUUUAAGAUCUUUCUCCUGGUUUUGAUCAUCACCGUUCACCUACUUGUUACGGAGAUCCCGACCAAUGCACAAUCCAGAUUUUUUUAGCUUUUUUUCUCCCAUCCCAUCUUGGACGGGCCCAGAAGCUUUUCUCAUGUUUGAAUGGAGGUCUUCCGCAAAUGAAUUUCCAUAUAGAAAUUAUAUAAUGUGCCUGCAGAUAUUGAUUGAAAGCUUGUUUCAAUUGAACGAGGAUGUGAACGAGAAGGCAACAAAAGGGAGCUUGGAGCAAGAGGAGUCAUUUAGUAGUUCACGAAAAAAGGCAUAGUAGAGAAAGGCGGACCAGGCAAUCUCAGAGUGGAAAUCGACACCAUUCAUCCAUCUAUCUCUGCAUCCGGGCUCGCCUCCACUAUUGUUCCGGGUUGAUGAAAGAUCCAACUCCAGAAACCAUACCUACUUCCUGCUUUCGAAAGUGCUUGCUUGCUGACGGGCAUCCCGGUGGGAUGUCUUACCCUCCCUCGAGUCCGAUCUCGGGAGGGCGCUUGGGCUUUUUUUAUUCCCAGGUGUCCGUUUUAUAAAUGCGUAUCGUGAUCCUAGUAUCGGGCUAGGAUUGGCUCUGGUCUAAAACAAGCUUGACCUAAGAACCGCCCUUAAGCAAGGCAGGCAUACGCGCACCUAUAUGUCAAGAUACCUAUUAAGAUUGAAAAAAAGGAAAUCUUUAACAUGCGCAUAAGGAUAGAAGGCAGCUAUCUCUUCAGGGGCAUUGCAAAACAGCGUCUACUCCAAUUGAAGAAGUCCAUUCUAUGGUCAACCUUGUGGCUCCAAACUAGCACUGAUCCUCAGGAGUGAUGCCUCCUCUCGUCAAAAGUCGGUAUAUACAUGUUCUUGGAAGCAAAGAAAGAAUCUCAUGUAUCAGAGCGGAUACGAUAAUCAGUCGUGCAUAUUAUUAUCAUAUAUAAAUAAAACGAGAUGAGUGGGAUUGAGGAAGAAGGGGAGAGUAAUGGAAGCUGCUUUAGAGAAGGAAAUCCGAAGCAUUACGAGAUCAAAAGAGCUGAGAAUGAGUCGUCAAAUAAGCUCUACGUUAAGAGAAUGGUGGAAACCAGCGCGCAAACUUCAUUCUCUCCUAGGAUGCAUCAUGGGAAAAUCUCAAGACGAUAUAGUGAUGUCGCUUAUCCUACUACAAAGAUUAGGGCUAAUGGAGUAGGAUUCUUAAAAUAUCUACCAAAAAAAGAGAACUUAUAUAAAUAUAAGAAAAUGAGACAGUAAUGAGGUCCAUAUCGUCAUCGUAAUAAAAAGAAAGAUCUGCAAGCAUUCUUUAUGGGAGUCGGGGCUUUCUGAUUUGAAGUUGCUGGAAAAGGACCUGUGUGAUCGGUUGAUCAUUAGUCGUUUUUUUUUCAGGUAAGUAGGCAGGGGUGUCUUGAUCGAAACCGAACUUCAAUUCCACCCAGCUCAGAUUCUACGCAGCAGUGGGGAAGACCUGUUUAUACUUUUUUUGAGAAUUCCAUUCCUGAUGAGAAACUAUCAGAUAUUCCUCCUAUUCCGGAAGGUUUUCUAGCCACCUGCUUAGAGAUUUGACGGACUACCAAUCCAAAUAGCAGUCAAGAAAGAAUCCAAGUUGCAGUCAAGAUAGAUGGAAUGGACUAGGGCGCAAGGAAAGAGAUCCAAAACGAGAGCGAUCAUUCAUUCCCUCUUUCUCUGGCCAAGCUAUUCAACUGUCGACUAUUCUCACUCCCCUGCCUCUGCUAGACUCAACUCACACAUAUCGACUCCACUGGAGAACCUGGGACCGGCACACUCAGUUGAGAUGAAGUCUGUUGACUGCCGUUGAUUUUCUAUGUGCUCAGGUGCUUCAAGGGCGCGACUACCCGAAUAGAGAUUGUCUAAGGGCAAAGGUUCCGCCUCAGGCUUCGAUCACAUGGAGGAGGGUGUUUGUGCUGCAAGGUAAACUCUUUUGGCGGGUCUGAUCUGGCGCAUUGGAGAUGGUUUAAGCACAACAAGUUUGGGUGGACUACUGGAUCCCAAGGUUCGAAGAGAGAGAAAUUCCCUAAUCGGCCUAACUCGAUUGUGAGGGAUCUACGGAAAGCUGAUGGGAAGUCAUGGGAUGAGCAAGUAGUGCGGAAUGUGUGUCUUCGUUGUGAUGCCGACGAUAUCCUUAAGAUAGAUUCUUCUACCACGGGGGAAGCUCCAAGGACUUAAGUAAGCCAACUUCAUCCGGUAUUGAGGAGUCCGUCCCCCAAUUUCCCACGCCUCUUCGUUCUCCCCAUUUAGCUAAGUUAUGAGUUCGCAAAAAAGAAAUCCUCUUCUAGAUCGGGUUGGAGUCGAGUUGCCAACUAAAGGCCCAGUCAAAAUAACCUACUGGGUUGAAGCUACUGGUAUAAGACCCAGCCUGGCAUCUCUACUUGGACUAUCCUUUACGUUACCCGCUUUAAAGUGCCAGUCUUCUCAUCUCGAUAACCAAUCCAGGUAAGAUUAGAUCCAUGCUUAUACGAACUCAAGAAAGUAGCCCUUGCCCUGAACCAGAAUCAAAGCAAACUCAAUCCUCACAACUUAAAGGAGAAACUAGGAAAUAGAGCUAGAUAGGCUCUAUACACGCUCGAAAAAUCAUAGUAAAAUAUAGAAGUGAUGAAUGCUGUGAGUAUUCCUUUCUUCUCCGUAAAAUUAAGUCUAUCAAUCAGUCCUUUUCUGAACUGAUUUCUAUAGCCCUGCUUCCCUCCCGCAAUCAGAGUGAAACUACCAUAAAAGGUUUGUCUUGAAAAGAAAUAGUGCCACUGGCAGCCACUAUAUGAGUGAGAUAGACUUGAUUCUUUCUCUGGCUGUAGAAUUGACAUAGAACUAGUUUUUCUUCCCAAGGCCCAAUUCUUAAUGAUUGAGGAAAUGCACGCUCACAUAAUGGGAAAAUCACGUAUAAUCCUUACGAGAAAUCUCCUACUUUCCUCUCUACAGGGAAGUGCGCCAGUUCGAGAAAUAUUGUUGAUAGAAUGAAUGCUCUUACGCGCUAAUGAAUGAUGACUUAUUUAAAGAAUUUCUUGAUAUCUUGCAGAAUGGUUUUCAUGCUAAUCAGAAUGAAUUUCUACUUAUGCGCUAAGAGAGACUGUGGUGGAAUCAAACCAGUCUCUUGGGAAAAUCAAAUGGAUGGAUCUCUUUGUCAGCUUCUUGUUUGAGAAAAAGAGUAGUGACUCGCUGGAUUGAGAUUUCUAGGAAAAAGAGUUGCGAACGAAAUCCUACACUCCCUGUAGGUAGGGCUGGGCGAGAAAGGGUCCCCUCUGAAGCCUAUAAGUUAGUAAGCAGGCCAAAUAUUCCACCGGGGUCUUUCUUAGCAAACUCAUUGAUGGCAGUACCUAACUAAAGAAGAAUAGCGCUCUUUCUUUCUUUCAAUUACGUUUCUUGAAUGGUUCUGCACUUAGAUCAGUCAGUACACACGAAACCCUUUAAUCAAGUGAGUGCCACUUUAACUCAGCUCUUUCCUAGUGAUCUUGAUUGUCCCUAGAAGCAUCUCUUAUUUUCAUAUAGAAAUUAAAUGGUUUAGUGGAAAAGAGGGAGAUCCGGACUCACUUCUACCAAUCGAAGAUUUUCGUAUUGUAAUUAAACGGAAAUGAUAGUAAGAAAAAAUACUAAAAAUGCAGAAGUUAGGCUUCUUCCGGUUCUAGAGUAGUGGCUUCAAGCUCCAGUCUUAGUUUGACUACAGAAAAAAUAGAAAAAGGCUCCCCGUGGACUCUACGCGGGACUUUUUUUAUUAAACUUACAUAAUUAGAAUUUCUCUGACAUUCCAUGUUGUUAAUUAUGUCUCGUAUGGAACUUGUUUGUUCCAAAUUGUUUGGGAAGUUAUUUUUGGGUUUAAAUUUAAAUCAAAUUCAUCUGGAUAUCUUUUUCUUCCUCAUUCUUAUUUCGGUUUUCGUAUCAUGGAAGUUGGUUCGCGCUUUAUGUCCGCGUUGCCCGGUCUGGGCUGCGCACGUUUUUUACGGCUUUUGUUGUAGCGCGGUGCUGGGGUCUAACAUUACUCCUGCGGAAUGCUCGCCGGGUAACGACCCCGCGCAAAAUGAGGAUCCGUCGGGGUCAGGGGCGGGGGCUACACCACUGGAGGAUAGCUUCUGGGAUGCGCUUCUCCAGGGGGGUGCCAAUAGGCGUGAGAAACAAGUCGCGUCCACAAGUCAAACCCCCGGGGGCUUGACGGAAGGCGGGGAGCAAGCAAGGGCUCAAGCGUCUACUAAUCUGAUGCUUUUAGGCGAUGACGACCUGUCUCGCGCCGUAGCCCCGUAUCUCCCGCAGGGAGGUCAGGCUCCUGUAAAUCUGCCCGAAGGACGACCGCUUACAAUGGGGGAAGAAGAACGGCUAGCCCUAGUCCUUAAUUACCACCAGCACAUCGGCGCUCUUUUAAGAGACCUCGAUGCUACCUCGGUCUUG